rnacentral:rRNA from 1 species
AUUGAACGCUGGCGGAAUGCUUUACACAUGUAAGUCGAACGGCAGCACGGGGCAACCUGGUGGCGAGUGGCGAACGGGUGAGUAAUACAUCGGAACGUGCCCAAUCGUGGGGGAUAACGUAGCGAAAGUUACGCUAAUACCGCAUACGAUCUACGGAUGAAAGCGGGGGAUCGCAAGACCUCGCGCGAGUGGAGCGGCCGAUGUCAGAUUAGGUAGUUGGUGGGGUAAAGGCUCACCAAGCCAACGAUCUGUAGCUGGUCUGAGAGGACGACCAGCCACACUGGAACUGAGACACGGUCCAGACUCCUACGGGAGGCAGCAGUGGGGAAUUUUGGACAAUGGGCGCAAGCCUGAUCCAGCCAUUCCGCGUGCAGGAUGAAGGCCUCGGUUGUAACUAGCUUUGUUACGGAACGAACGGCGAGCUCUAAUACAGUUGCUAAUGACGGUACCGUAAGAAUAAGACACCGCGUAACUACGUAGCC